rnacentral:rRNA from 1 species
GACGAACGCUGGCGGCGUGCCUAAUACAUGCAAGUCGAACGCAGUUGCGAACGGGUGAGUAACGCGUAGGUAACUGCCUCAUAGCGGGGGAUAACGAUUGGAAACGAUAGCUAAUACCGCAUACUGUGAGAUGGACCUGCGUUGGAUUAGCCAGUUGGUGAGGUAAAGGCUCACCAAGGCGACGAUACAUAGCCGACCUGAGAGGGUGAACGGCCAACCAUGGAAUGGACAACGGCCCAGAACCCUACUGGAUGCCACCAGAGGGGAACUUCGGCAAUGGACGGAAAGUCUACCGGAGAACGCCGCGUGAGUGAAGAAGGGUUUCGGUUCGUAAAGCUCUGUUUUUAGGGAAGCGGUAACUAACCAGAAAGGGACGGCUAACUACGUGCCAGCAGCCGCGGUAAUUC